AAUAGGCCUCAUGUAAGGAAGAGAACAAGAGUGGGCGGGGUUUAAAUCAAUCUGGCAAGGGGACAGAACAUGGAGGAGAAGAGACACAGAGAAGACAGAGUUCAAUAUACAGAGAAACUUUAUGGUUAAAAUGUCUUUCAGUGAUUCAGAGGACAGACAAGAGUUGUAGCAGUGGACAACGUUCGCUGUUUAGUUUGUCCACAGUGACCGACUGCUACUGUUGCUCAUGCUAACAUGGGCUAACAACAGCUGGAUGAGAGGAGGCCAUUACUGAUCUGAGAGGAGGCCAUUACUGACAGAAGAGGACUGCUGUGCUUCCUCAGGAUCGUUCCAGGAUUAUUUUGCCGUGUGUUUCAUCACUCGCUCCACAAACUGUUUCUACAGGACCAGGACUAACUUCUAACUGCGUAUCCACAGAACAUUUGAAGGACUUGAAAAGACCAGUGACCAGACAGAAAAGUGAGCAUGAUGCCAUUUGUGAGCUCCAUGGUGCGGAGCGACAGUCGGGAAAGAAAGGAAACACAGGGGAGAGGAGCGUCUGAUUCAAGACUGCAAGAGGACCUAGCCUUGAUAUGUGAACUGGCUCUACAGAGUCGGGAUGGAGCCUGUGAUGCAGAAGCUAAUGGAAGUAUCACAGGGGAGGGAAAGUGAAAAGAUGGCAGCGGCAGAAAAGAGGGUGACUGUCAGUGGUUGCGGUUGGUGGAGUCCAAAGUGCGGCCUUGGACCUGCCUGACCCCAACACUGGGGAUAGCGCUUAACAUCUAGUCUGCCCUAACUACUACCGAGGAGGGGUCUACACGGCCAGCUGAGGCUGAGGUCUGGCCAAGCGGCCUCCUACACUUCUCACCAGGGAGAGUCCAAGCACGGCUGUCAUCCCAGCCAGCCAAUUCAGUCCACGGGCCAUAAAUCAGCCCGGAGGCCUGGCUCCUGCGGGAGCGGCAAGAUGGAGUGUGAUGGUCUUGUUUUUACAAACAGUAGAGGGGCACCCUUGCUGCACCACGCAAGCCAUCAUUCUCUACACAGCACCGAGUCCUCGCCUUCUCCCCACAGCAUCUGGUUCAGUCACAUCAAGCUUUGCCCCCCCGAUGCAGCCAGAUUCAUCCCUCGCAGCUCCCCACACAAGCCCAUCCUUUAUGCUUCUCCUCCUUCUGUCCUCCUCUUUCAUCUCAUCAGUACCGCUGUCUUGCGUACA